AGAAUUAAAAGACAGUUUAGAAUAUUAUUUAGACAUAGAAUUAUUCAUAGACGAAAAAGACAGGAUAAUUAACGAAAUAGAUAACCUAGAAUUUAAUAUCAGAUAUAGUACAAUUAGAAUAAAUUAUUACAAAGAAAUUUGCAGUAUCACAACUACUUUAGGAUAAAAUGAUAGACUAUGAAUAUUUAAAAUAUUGGAGACAAGAUAUGGAAGAAAUAAGAUUAAUAGAAAUACUUAUGAAAGAG
rnacentral:lncRNA from 1 species